rnacentral:rRNA from 1 species
GACGAACGCUGGCGGCGUGCUUAACACAUGCAAGUCGAACGGAAAGGCCCUGCUUUUUUGGGGUGCUCGAGUGGCGAACGGGUGAUUAACACGUGAGUAACCUGCCCUUGACUUUGGGAUAACUUCAGGAAACUGGGUCUAAUACCGGAUAUGAGCUCCUGCUGCAUGGUGGGGGUUGGAAAGUUUCGGCGGUUGGGGAUGGACUCGCGGCUUAUCAGCUUGUUGGUGGGGUAGUGGCUUACCAAGGCCUUGACGGGUAGCCGGCCUGAGAGGGUGAACGGCCACAUUGGGACUGAGAUACGGCCCAGACUCCUACGGGAGGCAGCAGGGGGGAAUAUUGCACAAUGGGCGGAAGCCUGAGGCAGAAACGCCGCGUGCGGGAUGACGGCCUUCGGGUUGUAAACAGCUUUCGCCUGUGACGAAGCGUGAGUGACGGUAAUGGGUAAAGAAGCACCGGCUAACUACGUG